GAGACCUCAGGUCAGGCGGGGCUACCCGCUGAGUUUAAGCAUA
rnacentral:rRNA from 1 species